rnacentral:tRNA from 1 species
GAGGGUAGAGCUCAGUGGUAGAGUGCAUGCUUAGCAUGCUUGAGGUCCUGAGUUCAAUUCCCAGUACCUCCA